rnacentral:lncRNA from 1 species
CCGAUUCUGACUUCCUCUCUGAGGUAUGUAAUGAAACACUUCAAAAGCCAAUAUUUUUCCAAAACCUUGCUCAUAUCUGGGUGUGUCAGAGUUUCCUAAGGGCCUCAAGGGAUCCCGGGUAAUACUCACACCAAGAUUUGCUUAACCAAACAGAAUGAGUGCAGUGUGGAAGAGCCAGCUUUUAUGUGUCCAAGUUCAGAGGGAGCUCAAACGUCCCAAGGCAAGGCUCACACAAAAGGGGAGAACAUAAAUUCUAAGAGUGUAGGUGAGAGUGCUUGACAUAGUUUGAAAAAGAGUUUGUUUAAAAUUGGUUUGAAAGUAAUCAACAACAAAGUUGAUUUGAAAGCAGUUGUAGUAGUAAACAAAACUCAAACUCCCAAGAUGGGAUCGUACACAGAAUCAAUAGUCAUACAAAGGUCGAGGAGGUUUAGGGCACACUGAAAUUUGACUGUAAACACAUAACCCCAUCAAGGGUCUUAGGACUAGUUGGACAUGCACAAUAAUAGUAGAUACUGGCAUGAUCACAGGCUAGUCAGAAAGAAAAUAAG